UAAAGCGCGCGUAGGUGGUUUGUUAAGUUGGAUGUGAAAUCCCCGGGCUCAACCUGGGAACUGCAUUCAAACUGACUGACUAGAGUAUGGUAGAGGGUGGUGGAAUUUCCUGUGUAGCGGUGAAAUGCGUAGAUAUAGGAAGGAACACCAGUGGCGAAGGCGACCACCUGGACUAAUACUGACACUGAGGUGCGAAAGCGUGGGGAGCAAACAGGAUUAGAUACCCCAGU
rnacentral:rRNA from 1 species